GAAACCAGUGGAGCGCUUCCCGUCGCGAGCUGAUGCUAAGCGCGCUAAAGCUAACGAGUCUCCGGCUCGGACUGAAGUAAAGAAUCAGAAACGAUGCUCGUCAGUCGACGCUGUUUGGACAGAAUCUGUUCACUCGUUCUUCUGCUGGUGGUUCUACUCUCGUGGGGGUUCGUCAUCUACGGCACACGGAUCGCUGCUCAGUGGGAGCUCGAGAAACGAGAAAAGAUAAAGACGUGAAUCAGCAGACCUCACUUCAGACCAGAAACACACUCUUCAUCAUGUCUCCAGUAUAAUGUGUGACUUUUUAACUUGUAUUUUUUACAUCAAUCAUGUAAAUAUUUUUUUGUAAUGCAUAUGUUUCAAGCUUUUAUUGAGAUCUUUACGAUUAAAUAAUCAUGUUUCUGUA